ensembl:rRNA 5S_rRNA 5S ribosomal RNA
GCUUACUGGCAUACCAGAUGAAGAACACCCUAUCUCGUCUGAUCUCGGAAGUUAAGAAUUGUUGGGCCUGGUCAGUACUUGGAUGGGAGACUGCCUGGGAAUACCAGUUGUUGUAAGCU